rnacentral:rRNA from 1 species
UACGUAGGUGACCAGCGUUGUCCGGAUUUACUGGGCGUAAAGAGCGCGCAGGCGGUCGUUCAAGUCGCGUGUGAAAGCCCCCGGCUCAACUGGGGAGGGUCACGCGAUACUGAUCGACUCGAAGGCAGGAGAGGGAAGUGGAAUUCCCGGUGUAGUGGUGAAAUGCGUAGAUAUCGGGAGGAACACCAGUGGCGAAGGCGAGUCCCUGGACAAUUCCUGACGCUGAGGCACGAAAGCCAGGGGAGCAAACAGG